CGGUCUUGAAUGAACUGCUCUAACACGCUUCACGGCCCUGAUCCAAUUGGAUUGUUGCGCGAACGAUUAUUAUGAUUUACAUAACGCUACAAGAUUUCGUAAGGACAUAAAUCAACUACCUCCUGGGCGGUGGUUCCUGAGCCUGUACCCGACAAUCGCUCAGUUCUACGCCUACAAAAUCUAAACCCAAUUGUACUCUGCCCCAUAAUGAGGGAACACCCGGGGGUGCAAUCUUGAUUAAAGAAGUUGAAUUGCCGAAUUAUGUAGGAGAAAUCUUAACAAAGACAGAAAUUCCAGUCAUAUGUGCAACUAAACAAGUUGUUCAGGGAGCAAUACACAAAAUUCAAACGCCCACCUGUAUAAUCACAGCUCAUCAAACUCUUACUGGCAAGCCGAAAAUAAGAAUUCCUGAUAUAUGCUGGGACUUUUGACUUUUGACCUCACAGGCCUUGAAAUGUAUCUUUUUUUCAUGUAUUGCUCAUUAAGUGAAAUAUAGUGUGUAAACCAGA